AGAGUUCGAUUCUGGCUCAGGACGAACGCUGGCGGCGUGCUUAACACAUGCAAGUCGAACGGAGCGCCAUGGAAUGAGGUUUCGGCCAAAGGAAAUGGUUGCUUAGUGGCGGACUGGUGAGUAACGCGUGAGGAACCUGCCUUUCAGAGGGGGACAACAGUUGGAAACGACUGCUAAUACCGCAUGACGCAUGACCGGGGCAUCCCGGACAUGCCAAAGAUUUAUCGCUGAAAGAUGGCCUCGCGUCCGAUUAGAUAGUUGGCGGGGUAACGGCCCACCAAGUCGACGAUCGGUAGCCGGACUGAGAGGUUGGCCGGCCACAUUGGGACUGAGAUACGGCCCAG
rnacentral:rRNA from 1 species